UACGUAGGGUGCAAGCGUUGUCCGGAAUUAUUGGGCGUAAAGAGCUCGUAGGCGGUCUGUUGCGUCGGCUGGGAAAACCCGGGGCUCAACCCCGGGCCUGCAGUGGGUACGGGCAGACUAGAGUGCGGUAGGGGAGACUGGAAUUCCUGGUGUAGCGGUGAAAUGCGCAGAUAUCAGGAGGAACACCGGUGGCGAAGGCGGGUCUCUGGACAGUUCCUGACGCUGAGGCACGAAGGCCAGGGGAGCAAACAGG
rnacentral:rRNA from 1 species